CGUGGGUCUCCAGCCCUGCGGACCGCUGGCGAGGCGCUCCCCUGCACACACCGGACCGGCUCCUCCCUCCGCCGGCUUCCCCUCCUUAAAGGGGCCACGAAGCGUGGGGCGGCACCGGUUCCCUGCCCGCCCCCCGACUGCCCGCCCCCCGGGGCCCGGGCGCACCUCCCCAGGUAGGAGCAGCUGUGGCGGCGCGGUAGGAGCCCCACAGCGUCAGGGCGGGGAGGGCGCUUGGAGAUCCCCCGGGUCGGCCCCCUCCGCACCCCGAUCGACUGAGGCCCGGAGAGUUCAGGAACCGGCUCGGGAGACCUCAGCGCCCGAACUCGGAGUUUUCGGACUUUUCAGGCCUCUGCCAAGGGCUUGGACUCGCAGGUGAAAGGACGGGCUCAUCUCACUUUUUUGUCCUGAGAGGUGUGGCCUAGGGAAGCCAAAAGACUGGACACUCCUGACUUAGAGGAAGACACAGAGGAAGGCAGGCUGAUUGGGCUUGUGGCUGACCACACUGAGGUGCUAAUGCUGGGAGCUGACAGACUCAAGGCAUGGAAUAAUCACUGGGUUGGGAGCCUGAGCCAAAACCAACAAGAAGACAUUUUAAAAACUGUUAUGAAAACAUUGUAAUGUUACAGGAGACAAAUCAGGAAGAAAAAGUCACCCACAUGCCAAUUA
rnacentral:lncRNA from 1 species